rnacentral:rRNA from 1 species
UGAGGAAUAUUGGGCAAUGCCCGAAAGGGUGACCCAGCAACGCCGCGUGGAGGAUGAAGGUCGUAAGAUUGUAAACUCCUGUUAGAGGGGAAGAAUAACUAAGUUUGGAGCUUAGUAUGACUGUACCCUCAGAGAAAGCCCCGGCUAACUACGUGCCAGCAGCCGCGGUAAUACGUAGGGGGCAAGCGUUGUCCGGAUUUACUGGGUGUAAAGGGCGCGCAGGCGGAAUGGAAAGUCAGUGGUGAAAUCCUACAGCUUAACUGUAGAACUGCCUUUGAUACUUUCAUUCUUGAGUUCGGGAGAGAGAGACGGAAUUCCAGGUGUAGUGGUGAAAUACGUAGAUAUCUGGAAGAACACCAGUUGCGAAGGCGGUCUCUUGGUCCGAUACUGACGCUGAGGCACAAAAGCGUGGGGAGCAAACA